UGAUGAGGAGUCCCACAAUAGGACGAAACGGCCGUCCA
rnacentral:hammerhead_ribozyme from 1 species